UACGGGGGGGGCAAGCGUUGUUCGGAAUUACUGGGCGUAAAGGGUUCGUAGGUGGCUUGCUAAGUCACACGUGAAAUCCCUCAGCUUAACUGGGGAACUGCGUGUGAUACUGGCGAGCUUGAGUGCAGGAGAGGAACGCGGAAUUCCAGGUGUAGCGGUGAAAUGCGUAGAUAUCUGGAGGAACACCGGUGGCGAAGGCGGCGUUCUGGGCCAACACUGACGCUCAUGCACGAAAGCGUGGGGAGCAAACAGG
rnacentral:rRNA from 1 species